rnacentral:lncRNA from 1 species
UGAUUUUAGCAUGCCACGAGCAAGCACCAUCAUUGAUAUGCGGUGCAGCUAGGCACGGCCUCUCGGGUUGCGAUCUCGGAGCAGCUACGUGUCGCAGCAAGAGAGAUGCACUAAGAUAAGAAAGAAAUGCUGCCUGUGCGCAGCCACCGGUAGUGCAGUGGUGUGGCAUAUUUGACAUGAGAACACUGAACUGCCGCACCGAACGAGUUCGGAAUCCAGUGAAUUUGCUAUGCUCGGUGUACAACGGACUCAACAACGGUGAGAUCAUUCGUCAGGUGUCUGCUGCACUGACGGACGAUGACUCCGAGUCAAAAGAUGACACACCAUGUGCUACGCUGCCGUCGCAUGCGGAGCGCGUACGAGCAGUGACUGCGCUUUCAGCCGCCUAUAGUGACCAUAUGACCCUCUCCGAGAUUCAGGCUUAUCUGAUUGCGCGUAAACGGAUCAGCAUGCAAUGACGCCUUCACGAUUUCUUCAAGCCUACUGCUGAGCCCGAAUAAGUGCAUGGAAAUAAAGGAUUUAGUUUUUUC